UUUAAAUCCAAGAAUUUCAUAAUGAGGAAAAAAUCUCAAAAAAAUUGCAUAUGCGUUUGCCGGGAGUCGAACCCGGGUCUAUUGCUUGGAAGGCAAUUAUCCUAACCGUUGGACUACAAACGCCCAACUUGCUAUGUUGAUCUUAUAAAUUUUUAUUUAUUAUGAUAAAAUUUUCUGUAAAUUAUUAUUAUUUUUUAUAUUUUCUUUUCAAUGAUAAAUUUGUAGCCCAAACCCCAUCCCUGUUUUGAUGCUCUAGUAUCGAAUCUAUUUGAUUGCAAGUCAAUUAUAUAACUUUUCAUGCUUGAAUUUCGAUUACUCUGGUUUCUCAAAAAGAAAAAGAAAAAAGAAAGAAUUUCGAAUACUCCAACCUUGGUUUUAAUAGCAAUCUUCUUCAUGCUAACGUUAUGGUAUGGUAUUGUCAGUCAGACUACAAUGCUCUCUUCACGCAAAAGACCACUGUGAUUGUUAUGUACCGUACAGAGUAUUGAUUCUCUCCCCAAACCCUAACCCUAAUUUCGUUGAAUUCCUGCUCUCUUAAUCGCGUUUAUGCCUGGGGUACCACAAGAUGAAGCCCGGGUGAUUUUUUGUAGGGCCACCAUGGAAUUUAAAUUCGGGGGUGUUUGGGUGCCUUUGCCUGACGAGCCCCAAUUUCGUCAGGUUUACUCAGGGAACAUAAAAAUGCAUCAAGGCCCUUUUUCAGUGACAAAGACUGUACACCUGGUUCGUAGGGGGCGUAUAUUUCUGAAGGUGCCAAAAGAAUACGAGGAUCUACUAGCACUUCCGGAGGAGUUUGAGAUACCAGCAGCACCUAGAGAACCUGAGGUUGUACUAGCACCUCAAUAGACUUUUAAAAUUGUUUUAUCUAGCUUUUUAAUUGAUUUUUGGCCAAUUGGAUGAGCUUGUUUUCAUGGAUGAGCUUAUUAGUUAUUUUUUGCUUAUUU